GUUUGCACACCUCUCUCCUGCCAUCAGCACCUCCUAAUGCAGCCCUUGGUUUGAGCUCCUUACAUUGCUCUUGGAAUAUUGCCACUGCGGGGCAUAUGGGCUGUUUCCAUUUGUCCAGCAGGCCUUCUCCUCCUCAUUCCAACUGAUUCUGAGGGGCCCAUCAUCGCAUUGUCUCCACCCAAACCACCACUGCAGUAUGAAAUAUUUGUAUUCACUUAAAGUGGAAAGACAAUCUGCACACCUGGAGGAGAUAUUUGCAACAUUUACAACUGGCAAAGGUUUAUUACCAAGAAUAUAUAAAGAAGUCUUAUAAAUCAACAAGAAAGAAGAAAAACAACAGAAAGAAAUGGACAAAAGAAAAAGCAUUUUAUAAAAGAAGAAAUGCUCAUGGCCAGCAAACAUAUGGAGAUGUUCAAACUCAUGUGAAAUGUAAAUCAAGACCCAAUAAGAUAAGCUUUUAUGUCCACUAAAAUGGCAAAAUGUUAAUAGCUAGACAAUCCAAGUAUUGGAGAACAUACAGAUCCAUGGGAUCUCUUACAUAUCGCUUAUAAGGGUACGCAUUAGGACAUAGGACACUCACUUAGAAAAAGUGUGGCAUUAUCUUGCAAAAUCAAACACUCACAUAGGCUGCUGUGCAGGUCCUGAGUCUGUUUGCCCUCAGAUCCACUCUUUGCUAUGCCCUUAUGUCCUCAGUUUUCCAGCAGGAUCUCGGCAGCCAUGUCAUCUUGCUUCCAGUUGGGCUCAGUUAAUAAAAGAGAGAGAAUGGAAGGUGGAAAGAAGGGAGAAGCCAAGGUGUUUCUCACCAGCACCCUCCCCUUCUCCUCUCAGGUAACAUCCCCUGUGGUGGCCACAGCUCUCCGAUGGGUCCAGUUCCCACAGGAAAGCCAGCCAUGAUUCUAACUUCUACCAGGUGACCCUGGCCCUGGGCUCUGGUGACACUAACCUUUUGUUUCUCUAGUCCUGGGGAGGGGUAGUAACAGCUUCCUGCUAUUAUUAAUUUAUGGAUUGCCUCAUUGCCUCCUGUGAGGCUUCUCAGCUAUUGAUUACCAUACUACUCAGCAAUAAAAAGGAAAAAACUAUUGAUACAUGCAACAACUUUGUCGGACCACAAGAGAAUUUUACCAACUAAAAAAGCCAGUCUCACAUUGUUACAUACUAUAUGAUUCCACUUACAUAACCUUCUAGAAAUGACAAAAUUAUUGAGGUGAAGAACAGAUUAGUGGUUGCCAAGGGUUAAAGACAGGGUUGGGGUUGGAGAAAGAAAUCAGUGUACCUAAAAAGAAGCAGCCAGAGGGAUCUUUGUGGUGACGGGACAGUUCUGUAUCUUGAUUGUGGUGGUGGUUAUACAAAUCUACGUGUAAUAAAGUUUUAUGUGUGCAUAGAACUAUGUACAUACUCAAACAAAUGCAUGUAACCCUGGUGAAAUCUGAAUAAGGUCUGUGGAUUGUGCCAAUACCAGUGACCUGGUUUUGAUACUGUAUUAUAGCUAUCUAAGACAUUAUUAUCAGGAGAAAAUGGGGGAAAGGUACAUGUACUUUUCUGUACUAUUUUUGCAACUUCUCGUGAAUCUGUUACUAUUUCAAAAUUAAAAGUAUCUGAAAAUCCAUAGAGUGGUUUCUGUUUUUUCUGAUUAGAC
rnacentral:lncRNA from 1 species